CCUACGGGGGGCUGCAGUGGGGAAUAUUGGACAAUGGGGGCAACCCUGAUCCAGCCAUGCCGCGUGUGUGAAGAAGGCCCUCGGGUUGUAAAGCACUUUCAGUGAGGAAGAACGCCUGGUGGUUAAUACCCAUCAGGAAAGACAUCACUCACAGAAGAAGCACCGGCUAACUCCGUGCCAGCAGCCGCGGUAAUACGGAGGGUGCGAGCGUUAAUCGGAAUUACUGGGCGUAAAGCGCGCGUAGGUGGCUUGAUAAGCCGGUUGUGAGAGCCCCGGGCUCAACCUGGGAACGGCAUCCGGAACUGUCAAGCUAGAGUGCAGGAGAGGAAGGUAGAAUUCCCGGUGUAGCGGUGAAAUGCGUAGAGAUCGGGAGGAAUACCAGUGGCGAAGGCGGCCUUCUGGACUGACACUGACACUGAGGUGCGAAAGCGUGGGUAGCAAACAGGAUUAGAUACCCCAGUAGUC
rnacentral:rRNA from 1 species